rnacentral:snRNA from 1 species
AAGUAUUACAGCCCUUUUAGAAUUUGUUUAGCAGGCUUUCUAAUCUUUACUGGAAAGCCCCU